rnacentral:lncRNA from 1 species
CGUUUGUCGCUAGCAUUUUUGAUUUUUAUUUUUUUAUUUUUAGUGAUAAUGAUAACCCCUCUACUAAUGAAAACCAUUUUUAUGAUAUUCAACCAAUAUGUUUAGUAAGAGAUAUUAGGAAGGAAGAAAACACAAAAGUUUAUACCGAAUUAAAACCGCUACCAUUAAUUGAUGGAACAAAGGAUGGUAGUCAAAAUGAUACGGAUGUUAAUAAUGAAUGUCACAAAGAAAAAUCGGUUGAUGUUAUAGACGUUUGUCAGCAUAAUAAAGAUGACACAGUUGACGAUGACUCAGAUUUAGACCCUAGUUAUGACCCACAAGAAUCUGAAGAAAUAAGUUAUGAGACAAAGAAAAAAA